rnacentral:rRNA from 1 species
GACGAACGCUGGCGGCGUGCCUAAUACAUGCAAGUAGGACGCAGUUGCGAACGGGUGAGUAACGCGUAGGUAACUACCUAUUAGAGGGGGAUAACUAUUGGAAACGAUAGCUAAUACCGCAUACUAGUAGAUGGACCUGCGUUGUAUUAGCUAGUAGGUAGGGUAAUGGCCUACCUAGGCAACGAUACAGAGCCGGCCUGGAGAGGGGGUCCGCCACCUUUGGACUGGUGCACGGCCCUGGCUCCUCCGGGAGGCAGCAAGAGGGGAUCUUCGGCAAUGGGGGGAACCCUGAACCGGCAAAGCCGCGUGAGUGAAGAAAGGUUUCGGGUCGUAAAGCUCUGUUGUUAAGGAAGCGGUACUUAACCAGAAAGGGACGGCUAACUACGUGCCAGCAGCCGCGGUAAUAC